CCUCUUACUGUAUUUCCAGAACUUAGCAGAAGCUAGGAGAUAGUGUAUGUUAUCUAAAUAGAUACUGAAUGUGAGGAAGGAACUUUCCAGAAGUGUGAUCUUUGGUUUUGGAAGGGCACAAGGUUCAUAGUUAGGUGUAGAGAACACAAUUUUAGAAUCAUGGCCUCUACACUUUGACAAUACAUUACUUUCAGUAACAACUUAAAAAAAUGCAUUCCAAAUGUAUAUUAUAUAUACUUAUUUGUAAGUUAUAAAAAUGUAAUGCAUGCUCGUAUAUAUUUAGGUAUUAUUAGAAAGAGCACACCAAAUAGAAAAUUUAAAAAGCUAAAGUAAAAAUAAUACCUUGGUUGGGCACGAUGGCUCACGCCUGUAACCCCAGGGCUUGUGAAGGCCAAGGUGGGCAGAUUGCUUGAGCCCAUGAGUUCGAGACCAGCCUGGGCAGCAUAGUGAGAACCCAUCUGUACAAAAAAAAUCAAAAAAAUUAGCCAGGCGUGGUGGUGCGUGCUUGUAGUUGAAGCUGCUUUGGAGGCUGAGGUGGGAAGAUGGCUUGAGCCUGGGAAGUUGAGGCUGCAGUGAACUGUGUUUGUGCCACUGCACUACAGCUUGGGUGGCAGAGCGAAAUCCUGUCUCAGUAAGUUAAAUAAAUAAAUAAAUAAAUAAAAGUACCUAAAAGUUCUGAAAUAAUUUCCUGCAGUGUGCAUUUUGGAACCCACUAGGUAGACAGUUUGUAGGGAGAGGACUGCCCUCUACUGGUGGAGAGGACCUAAGGCUAUUUGCUUUGGAUAGCCUGCCUUUGGGAGUCCACAGAUUGAUCCUAUGUGGCCUACAUGGUGUGUACACUUAGCAUUCAGUCUACGUUAUUUUCACUCAUAGAAAAUGUAAGGUGAAUCAUUGUUUUAAGCCAGAACAGCUUUAAAAGGCAGAGACACUCGUAUUGUGCAGUCAUUAUGACCAGGAAACGUUGAACUAUCUGCGGGUGGAAGUGACUCAAAACUGAAUGUCCAUCUCGGUAACACCAUGGUCAAUACUCAGCAAAGGGGAAACAGUUAAUAUGUCAAGUCUUACAAAUCUUUUUUCACUUUGAAAGCAACUAAAUUAUACUAUUGUAGUUUUGAUAGCAGAAUAUGCCCUUCUGAUUUUUUUUUUUUUUUUUUUGAAAUGCAGGAGUCUCGCUUUAUUGCCAGGCUGGAGUACAGUGGCACCAUCUUGGCUCACUGCAACCUCCGCCUCCAGGGUUCAAGAGAUUCUCCUGCGUCAGCCUUCCAAAUAGCUGAGACUACAGGUGGCGCCACCAUGCAAGGCUAAUUUUCGUAUUUUUAGUAGAGACAGGGUUUCACCAUGUUGGCCAGGAUGGUCUUGAUCACUUGACCGCGUCAUCCGCCUGCUUCAGCCUCCCAAAGUGCUGAGAUUACUGGUGUGAGCCACUGUACCCGGCCCUACCCUGCUGAUUUUUAAGGCUUAGAGACUUUUAGAGCGAAAAGCAUAUAACAGAUUUUUUUUUUUUUUGAGACGGAGUCUUCGUCUGUCACCAGGCUGGAGUGCAGUGGCAUGGUCUCAGCUCACUGCAACCUCCGCCUCCCGGAUUCAAAUAAUUCUCCUACCUCAGCCUCCUGGGUAGCUUGGGCUACAGGAGUGUGCCACCAAGCCCAGCUAAUUUUUUUGUAUUUUAGUAGAGACGGGGUUUCACUAUGUUGGCCAGGAUGGUCUCGAUCUCCUGACCUCGUGAUCCACCCACCUCUGCUUCCCAAAGUGCUGGGAUUACAGGCAUGAGCCACUGCACCCGGCCACAGAUUUUUAUAAGACAACAUAUCUUUUUCACUUGAGAGUUCAGUGUUUGAACACAUUUAAAGUGCCUUUAGGCAGAGGCUAAACUGAGGGAGUCUGAUUAAAAUAUAAUUUUAGGAAUAUAUUGCAGAUCUAUGUAUGAGUUUUCCAGCAAAGUAAUCUAUACUUUCUGUGAGAAUAUGAGUGAAACGUAUACCACAGAAUGCAGUCAACCAUGAAAUUGUUUUCUAAGCUGUGAACUGUAUAAAUAAUUAAGUUGUUAUUAUUUAUUAGUCCAAAAUUAUUUUUUCAUUGCAUGACUAACGUAUUCCAUUUUACCUUCUCAGUUCCACUUCUGCAAAAACUAGUAUGUGUCAGAAUCUGUUUAAGCUGCUCCUACCUUCAAGUUGCUCACAGUCUAGUAUGGUUAUAGGCAGGGAGGCAAAUGAUCAUUAAUGAAUGAGUCCUGAUCCCUCAUCCUAUCUCACGAAUAACACACCUACCAGCAAAUAUACACAGAUGCCCAAAAGUGUCUAGGCAGGGUAGGGAAAGGAAGGAAGGAAGCAAGAGAAGAAUUGCAUUACAUGUCCCAUUGAUUUCAAGCUCCUCACACUGGUGCUUCUAAAUUGUGAGGCUUUCUUCACAAUUUAUUAUAUGUCUCUGUAGAGUCGUGGUCAAUACUCUAUAAAGGGAAAACAAUUAGUGAAUCUGUUCUCAUGUAUCAAGUCUCACAAGUUUUUCCCAUUUGAAGACAAACUAAAUGAUACUAUUGUAGUUUUGCUGAUUUUUAAGCCUUAAAGACUUUGAGAGCAAAAGCAUUUAACAGAUUUCUAUAAAACAGUAUGUCUUUUUGAAUUGAAUAGUUCAGUGUUCAAACACAUUUUAAAGUUCCUUUCAGCAGAGGCUAAACUGGGAGAGAGGCUGUACUUGGCUCCAUAGCAAAUGUCAGGAAAGAAAAUUAUGCAGCAGCAUAAAAUCCAGGCACAGUAUCCAAAGGGUACAAAUCUCCCAGAAUUCCUACCUCAAAGCCCACAUGCUAAUUCAAAUGCUCCCAGCCAUUUGGCUACUCAAGGUCACCAAAGAAAUUUUUUUUUUUUCAAAAAAUUUUUUUUUCCCUUGAGACAGGGUCUCACUUUGUUACCCAAACUGGACUGCGGUGGAAUGAUCAUGGCAUGUUGUGGCCUUGACCUCCCAGGCUCAAGCAAUCCUCCUGCCUUAGCCACCUGAGUAGCUGGAACUACAGGUAUGCACCACCAUGUCCAGCUAAUUUUUUACAGAGAUGCGGUUUCUCCAUGUUGCUGGUCUUGAACUCCUGGGCUCAAGCAGUCUGUCCACCUCUAUCUCCCAAAGUGCUGGGAUUAUAGGCAUGAGCCCUCAUGCCCAGCCACAGAUUACUUAUUAAUUACAAAUAGAAAAAAUUCCAUUUACAAUGAAGAAAUUUGGAAGAUGCUAUUUUAAUUAGAUGAUCAAUUUAUCAUCAAUAAAAUGACACACUGAUAUUUUAUAUUUUAUGCCUCUGAUGUGAUUCAUUGAGGAAGGCAUGACCUGUCCUAUGUAACAUUUUUGCCAAAAAUGUUUAAUCAAAAUCUAAUUUGAGGAAGCAAAGAGACAAAUGUAAUUAAGGGACAUUCUUUAAAUCAAUGGGCCUGAACUCUUCAAAUAUCUAUAAGUAAGAAUAAAAAUAAACAUGAGAAUAAUAGAGACAUGAAACACUACAUUUCAAUCCAUGCUAUUUGCUUUAUGUAGUAAUGUUUUAUUGUGUGAUAAUUUGUUAAUCAUUAAAAUAUUUAGUGUGUCUUCUGUCCACAUCUUAGCCUGUUUAGAGCAUUUUUGAAAGCUUCUGGAGAUAUAUGUUUUCAAUUGAUAUAUGUUUCAAUUAAAUUAUCAGGAGAGUUUCAUAAAACAAACCUUAAAAAAGGUCAAUGUCAUGAAGGUUUUUUAAAAUAUGGAGGAACUAUUUGUUCCAGAUUAAAGAAGGCUAGCUGUUUGAUCCUUGAUUAAAUCCGGGGCAAGAAAUAAAAACAACUCAAAAGAUGUGAUUGAGAAUUGAAGAGAAAUGACUUCAGCAAGAGGGUGGAUGAGGAGGCACCAGCUCUUGUCCUGCAAAAACAGCAAUUUAUCUACCAGUGAAAAUAGCUCUGAGAGUGCUCCGGAGUAUAAUUAAGAACCCGUAGCAUCCCAGUGGAGCACAAAAACUGAAGAUGGUUGCAUAGAAAAGCACUGGAGCAUUUUAUCUGCAUCAGUCUAUCCCCCAGCAUGGCACUGCUUAAUGCCGAGAGGAAUCCCUUUGGUCUUGACCUUCUCCUGUCCUAGGACCCUGUGGAGGAGAAGGGUCCAACAUAUAGACACAUGCCUACCAAUGGUGUAGCUUGGUUUACUGACAACUCUGUGAAACUGAAUGCAGAAGGGGUACACUGGAUUUGCCUUCUUUUGACUGACACUGGGCAUGGAUAUUUUCACUCAAUGGGUUAAACUGUGUGCAGUGGUUCUGGCUGUGCAGGCCACCCUGACACCACAUGUUGCUACAUUUUCAUGGAUUCACUGGCUGUUGUCAACAGCCUAGGAAUUUGAUCAGGAAAAUGGCAGCUGAGUGACUAGACUCUUAAAGGACCAGGCAGACACCAGACUGGCCUGUGCCUGCCUAUCAAAUCCCAAUUUUGGUGUUUCCAAUCAUUCUUUUUCCUUCUUCCCUUUAGAGUGCCAUCCUGGGGUGUUCUGUGGUUCAGGCCAUUAUAGUACCCCAAGCAGAGCCGCCUGAUUCUAAUCUGGAAGCCAUGCUUUCCCUGGUGCUGCUUUUCCUGGGUGUACAGGGGCGGGAAUGGAACCAAGGAGUACCUGGACACUAGGGUCCUUCUAGUGAUCCUUCUAGUCCGGUGCCUUGUCAGAUUUGUACAGGAUGUGACUUCCCUUCCUAGACUGGAAGGCUGAUGUAGAAAGAUGUAGGUUAAGAAGUAGGUCAGCAGGUGCUGCAGAGGUAGUAUGCUCAGGACUGUACAGACAGACUGGGUUACAAUACCUGGACAGCCAGCACCCCAAGUGAUAGAAACAUAUCCAACUACCGGAAGUGCAGGAAGCAGGCAAGGGACACAAGCGGAAGAGGCUCAGAAGCAGGCUCGCUGGCUGCAGACAGAGGAGCCGCCUGAGGAUUCUUCUUUGACUCUUUAGCAACUUCUUGCCUGGACUGCUGGGAUCCUGGGCUAGUCUCAGGCCUGGACGUCCUGCUUGUGGUAGGAAUCCUCCUAGGCCUAGCAAAGUGUAUUCUGGUGAAAGCUUGAUGAUGUUGCACUGAGAUCAUGUCAGUCAAGGUGCUACAUCUAUUUGAAGAGACAAAUCCCUGCCUCCAGAUCCGAGAAGGUUGAUGAGCGUGUGAGGUGGACUGGCUUUGCUAGGAGGUACCUGGGUCGGGGGAGUGCGUUGCAGAAGGACAGGACCGUGAAUGGCCUUGGCAGACCUACCACUUCUCCUUCCCACUUACAGUUCUUAUAAGAAUAGAAUGUGCUGAGAAUGCAGAGCCGUGAGAUAAGAAGGAACUGUUUGGAAUAGCCCAGGCUUUGUCCUCGUUCCUCCCAGAACAGGAUGUCCUGCAGUGCUUGUACUCAGUAAUCUCAGAUGCCCCUGGGAUACAGAACCCAGAGCAGAGUGCUUUUGGGGUCUCUCGGCUACAGUGUGAAGUGGGGUACAGGCAGAUGAGACUCCAUUCAUUCCAUGCAGCUCUCCUGAUCCUUGGGAGAUUGGCUUGCCAUGGAUCCCAGGCUUCUGUUGAUUCUUGCUGUCUAACUUUGGGUAACACAUUUCCUUUGCCUGACUUGUUAUGCGAGUGUCUGUCUCAUCGACUAGACCUAAGAAGGCAAGUUGUAGAGGCACAAAUGCUAUGGCAGCUAGAUCUGCUCUGAGCCCCUGCCAGAGUCAAGAACCCUUACAGAACUCUGGCAGCUGGGUUUGUACAAAACCUCCUGCCAGACUAGGAACCUUAGCAGAAACUGGUGAGGUGUUUAGAGUCCUCCUCUGGAACUGAUAGCUGGUGCACGGUGUUCUCCUCCUAGGAAUUAAUACCAACUCACAGCAUUUCCGCUUGACAGUAUAUACCAUGAAAUAUUAUUCAGUCUUAACAAAGAAGGUAACCUUGCCCUUUGCAACAACAUGGAUGAACCUGGAAGAUAUUGUGCUAAGUGAAAUAAGUCAGACACAGAAAGACAAACACUGCAUGAUCUUACAUAUAUGUGGGACCCAAAAUAGUUAAAACUCAUAGAAGCUGAGAGUAGAAUGGUGGCUGCCAGGUGCUCAGGGGAGGGGAAAAUGGGGAGAUGUUUGUCAAGGGGUAAAAAGUUUUAGUUAUGCAAAUGAAUAAAUUCUGGAUAUCUAAUAUAUGUCUGAUGACUGUAGUUAAUGAUAUUAUAUAGUUGAAAUUUGCUGAGAAUAGAUGUUAAGCUUUCUAGACACACACACACACACACACACACACACACGCAUGCACACACGGCAGGGGGAAGAAAAGAAAAUGGUCUGAAUGUUUUUGGGUGUCCUCCCGGGCACAUUCACAUUGAUUAGGGUCCCACUAAUUUAAUCUUAAUUACCUCAUUAGAGGCACUAUUUCCUAAUAAAGUCACAUUGAACUCUUCUUGACUUAAGAUUCCAGGCCGGGCACGGUGGCUCACACCUGUAAUUCCAGUACUUUGGGAGGCCAAGGCACACGGAUCACCUGAGGUCAGGAGUUCGAGACCAGCCUGGCCAACAUGGUGAAACCUCCUCUCCACUAAAAAUGCAAAAAAUAGCUGGGCAUGGUGGUGGGUGCCUGUAAUCUUAGUGACUCAGGAGGCUGAGGCAGAAGAAUCACUUGAACAUGGGAGGUGAAGGUUGUACUGAGCUGAGAUUGCACCACUGCACUCCAGCCUGGGCAACAGAGCUAGAUUCCAUCUCAAAAAUAGAAUGCAAUACAAUACAAUGCAACACAACACAACACAACAGACUCUUCUUUUCUCUAUCACAAUCUCUAUUGUUUUUCUCCAGUUUUGGGAAAUUCUCUCCCUCCAAUGAGAAUAAAGUUCCAAGAAGCCAGGGUCAGCUUGUUUCCUGAGGUCUCUCCAGCCUCCUAUACCUCCUAGACUCAGUCGCCACUCCCCAAAUACAUUUUGAAUGCAUGAUAUGGUUUUUUGCUGGGGCCUGACUAUGUGUGCACCUGAGGUCAAAACGCAGCUGGCACAAAUUUUUUUUUUUUUUUUGAGACCGAGUUUCGCGCUUGUUACCCAGCCUGGAGUGCAAUGGCUGGCACAAAUUUUAGACCAUAUAUAUGUCUUGUGUUAUUGAUGUUGAAAGAGUCUCACUAAUCUGGUGCCUUUUCUUUUAUAGCCCAUGCAAGACUAUAUCACAGAAUUUCUUAUCCUGUUAUCUGUAUGCCACUCUGUUAUUCCCAAGAGAGAUGGAAACAGUAUAAUCCCCCAGGCUUCCUCCCCAGCACUUAUGGUUCAUCCACAAAGACUGCUGUAAAGAGGCUGUGAAGGUGCUCAGAACGUGGGGCUCAGCGGUGCACUUAGUUAUCAUCAAUUACAAAACAGAGAUGAAGCAGCUUUCGUGAAAGGAACAAAAAAUCUUGGCUUUGUUUUCACUAUAAGAGCACCAUACUCUGCCACCAUAGAAGCUGUGAGUAGCACCCAGAAGAUUUUUCAAUGCAUUACAUUUACCUGCCUUUCCAGAGAGCAGCUGCAAGGGAACAUUGGUUCAGAACAGGAGCCCUGGAGUCACAGUACCUGGAGUUUCAACCUCGCUCCACACCUUUCCAGCCGUCAUUCUCGGGAACAUUCCUUAAUGUCUCUAUAUUUGCCCCAGUUUUAUCAUCAAGCAUGUCAUAGGGUCCAAGUUAAUAUAUGUAAAGUAAUUUAAAUUAGUGCCUGGCACAUAGAAGGUGCAUAAUUAAAGUAAGCAAUUCCAAAGAGUUAGUAUCCUCAGAGCUUCAAGAAAUAUACUGUGUUUUAGACCAGGCAUGGUGGCUCACGCCUGUAAUCCCAACACUUUGGGAGGCAGAGGCAGACGGAUCACUUGAGGUGGGAGUUUGAGACCAGCCUGGCCAACAUGGUGAAAUCUUGUUUCUAGUAAAUAUGCAAAAAUUAGCUGGGCAUGGUGGUGGGCACCUGUAAUCCCAGCUACUCAGGAGGCUGAGGCAGAAGAAUCGAUUGAACCCGGGGGGCGGGGUUUGCAGUGAACUGAGGUCGCGCCACUGCACUACAAGCCUGGGCAACAAAAGCAAAACUCAUCAAAAACAAACAAACAAAUAAAUAAAAUAAAAUAUACUGCUUUUCCAAUGAAGAAUUAAUAUGGUUUAAACUAUUUUAGGUGAGUUCAGUUAUUAAGCUAUUUAUUGUACAUAUUUCCUUGUUCUGUCUUGAUAACUUUUCAUCACAAACCUUUUAUGAGGAAAAAAGCUGAAGCAAUAUAAACAUGGUGGCCAACACACUAUUGGUUAAAGAUGUUUACUAGACAUUGAGUGUUUAAUAGAAGUGACUGAUUAAUUCAUCUUUAUAUCCAUAGUAUCGGACAUAUGGAUGACUCUCAAAUUAUUUAAAAUCCUAUAGUGCCAUAUUAGAGUUGCUGGGGGAUGGAAGAUUCAGAGAUAAAUUGAUCUUGCCUACAGGAAUCAAGAGGCUAGAAAUGGAAAAAAUUAGAAAAGAAUGCAUCGUUGCUGUAAAAUUUUAUGUAUAACACUCCACCUCUUACUGUAAGUACCUCGUCAAACGAAGCAUUAAGGAUUUCAUUUGAUCUGUGCGAUGUAACACAAAGAUUGAUUUGUUCUCCCGUUGCUGUCUGCUGAUUGUCUCACUUACUGCACGUACCCUGACAGCUGAGACUAUUUUUAGACUGUUUCUAAUAGUGCUGAUUUUAGGUUGAAAAGGGAGGUACUUCUGUCCUGAAUCGGCGCUGUCUAGUAGUAUUGGAAUCAUUUGUGCUCUUAAUAUUGCCCAGGUUGCAAACACUGCUCUUACCAGGGGAGGGCGCCAUCAUCCCAUCAGACUUGCAAGAAAAUUUACAUUUUGAGGAAAGAUGUGUAUUUGGAGGGUAAACCUUAUUUGUGAUUGGGGUAAGAAUCAUGUUGCAAGAUGAAUAUUUUUUCCUUAGGUAAGAAUAUGUUAUCUUCUGGAGAUGGGAGAAAAAUACACUUUUGAUUUUUUUUUUUUUUUUUUUUUU